rnacentral:tRNA from 1 species
UGAGGUUUAUUUUAACAAAAUACUUGAUUGUCUGUCAGGAGAUACUCACAGCAGGGUAACCUCAA